GAUGAACGCUAGCGGCAGGCCUAACACAUGCAAGUCGAGGGGGAAGUUACUUUCGGGUGACUGAGACCGGCGUACGGGUGCGUAACGCGUAUACAAUCUGCCUUUCACUGGGGGAUAGCCCGAAGAAAUUUGGAUUAAUACCCCAUAGUAUAUAGGGACGGCAUCGUUUUUAUAUUAAAGCUUAGGUGGUGAAAGAUGAGUAUGCGUUCUAUUAGCUAGUUGGAGAGGUAACGGCUCCCCAAGGCGAUGAUAGAUAGGGGUUCUGGGAGGGAUGUCCCCCACACUGGUACUGGGAUACGGACCAGACACCUACGGGAGGCAGGAGGGGGGAAUAUGGGAAAAGGGUCGGAAGACUGACCCAGCCAGGCAGCGUGGAAGAUGAAGGUCUUGUGGAUUUAAAACUGCUUUUGUAAGGGAAGAAUAAGGGCUACGCGUAGUUUGAGACCGGCCCCUAACAAAAAAGCAUGGGCAACCUCCGG
rnacentral:rRNA from 1 species